rnacentral:rRNA from 1 species
CACCGGCGUCCUGAGUGGGAAUCACUUAUUAGGUCUAAAGCGCUCGUAGUUGGCUUUGUAAAUUUCUUGUGAAAUCGUGUCGCUUAACGGCACGGCGUGCAGGAAACACUGCAAAGCUUGGGACUGGGAGGCGUCAGAAGUAUUCCUUAGGGAGCGGUAAAAUGUGAUAAUCUAAGGAGGACUACCUGUGGCGAAGGCGUCUGACGAGAACAGGUUCGACAAUCAGGAGCGAAGGCUAGGGGAGC